rnacentral:rRNA from 1 species
GAGUUUGAUCUUGGCUCAGGAUGAACGCUAGCGGCAGGCUUAAUACAUGCAAGUCGAGGGGCGAGCAUGAGUAGCAAUACUUGAUGGCGACCGGCAAACGGGUGCGGAACACGUACGCAACCUUCCUUUAAGUGGAGAAUAGCUCCCGGAACGGGAAUUAAUACUCCGUAACAUUAUGAUGCGGCACCACUUUAUAAUUAUAGAUUUAUCGCUUAAAGAUAGGGCGUGCGCCUGAUUAGGUAGUUGGCGGGGUAACGGCCCGACCAACGCCUACGAUCAGUAACUGGCGUGAGAGCGCGACCAGUCACACGGGCACUGAGCACGGGCCCGACUCCUACGGGAGGCAGCAGUAAGGAAUAUUGGUCAAUGGACGCAAGUCUGAACCAGCCAUGCCGCGUGGAGGAUGAAGGUCCUCUGGAUUGUAAACUUCUUUUAUUUGGGUACGAAAAAAGAUACAUUCCUGAUCACUUUGACGGUACCAGAUGAAUAAGCACCGGCUAACUCCGUGCCAGCCGCCGC